rnacentral:SRP_RNA from 1 species
CCGUGCUAGGCGGGGUGCUAGCGGUGCCCUGUACCCGCAAUCCGCUCUAGCGGGGCUGAAUCCCCUCCCCAGGGGCUCAGGCCCUGGGGUCAGCGCCCCGUUUCAUGGCGUUGAUGGUUCGGUCCCGCGGCGGUGAAGGCCCGUGAACCAGGUCAGGUCCGGAAGGAAGCAGCCUUAAGCGGUCACCUUCAGGCGUAGCG